CCCUCAGAUGUUCUGGGCUGCACGCGCGCUACACUGAAGCUAUCAACACGUUUUCCCUCCCUGAGAAGGGCGGGUAACCUUUUGAAUCAGCUUCGUGGUAGGGAUCGGGGCUUGCAAUUGUUCCCCGUGAACCAGGAAUUCCUAGUAGACGCGAGUCAUAAGCUCGCAUCGAUUAAGUCCCUGCCCUUUGUACACACCGCCCGUCGCUACUACCGAUUGAACGUUUUAGUGAGGCAUUUGGACCGACGCAUCUCAGUUUAACCGCUGGUUUGUGUUGGAAAGACUUCCAAACUUGAGCGUUUAGAGGAAGUAAAAGUCGUAACA
rnacentral:rRNA from 1 species